AUUGAACGCUGGCGGAACGCUUUACACAUGCAAGUCGAACGGCAGCACGGGUGCUUGCACCUGGUGGCGAGUGGCGAACGGGUGAGUAAUUUAUCGGAACGUGCCCAGUCGUGGGGGAUAACGUAGUGAAAGUUACGCUAAUACCGCAUACGAUAGAUGGAUGAACGCGGAGGAUCGCAAGACCUCGCGCGAUUGGAGCGGCCGAUGUCAGAGUAGGUAGUUGGUGGGGUAAAGGCUCACCAAGCCGACGAUCUGUAGCUGGUGUGAGAGGACGACCAGCCACACUGUGACUGAGACACGGCCCAGACUCCUACGGGAGGCAGCAGUGGGGAAUUUUGGACAAUGGGCGAAAGCCUGAUCCAGCCAUGCCGCGUGCAGGAUGAAGGCCUUCGGGUUGUAAACUGCUUUUGUACGGAACGAAAAGGUUUGGCCUAAUAAGCUGAGCUCAUGACGGUACCGUAAGAAUAAGCACCGGCUAACUACGUGCCAGCCGCCGCCGUAA
rnacentral:rRNA from 1 species